UGCCAGCAGCCGCGGUAAUACAGAAGCCUCAAGCGUUACCCGGAUUUACUGGGCGUAAAGGGUGUGUAGGUGGUGUGAUUAGUCGGGUGUUAAAUCCUCAGGCUCAACCUGAGGCUCGCAUUCGAAACGGUCAUACUAGAGGAAGUGAGGGGUGUGUGGAACUCAUGGUGUAGGGGUGAAAUCCGUUGAUAUCAUGGGGAACACCAAAAGCGAAGGCAGCACACUGGCACUUUCCUGACACUGAGACACGAAAGCGUGGGUAGCGAACGGGAUUAGAUA
rnacentral:rRNA from 1 species